CAGUCGCCGCGGUAAUACCGAGGGUGCGAGCGUUAAUCGGAUUUACUGGGCGUAAAGCGUGCGUAGGCGGCUAAUUGAGUCGGAUGUGAAAUCCCCGAGCUUAACUUGGGAAUUGCAUUCGAUACUGGUUAGCUAGAGUGUGGGAGAGGAUGGUAGAAUUCCAGGUGUAGCGGUGAAAUGCGUAGAGAUCUGGAGGAAUACCGAUGGCGAAGGCAGCCAUCUGGCCUAACACUGACGCUGAGGUACGAAAGCAUGGGGAGCAAACAGGAUUAGAUACCCGUAGUCCCUGUCUCUUAUACAC
rnacentral:rRNA from 1 species